rnacentral:rRNA from 1 species
UACAGAGGGUGCAAGCGUUGUUCGGAAUUAUUGGGCGUAAAGGGCGCGUAGGCGGUGCGGUAAGUCUGUAGUGAAAUCUCUGGGCUCAACUCAGAGUCUGCUGCAGAAACUGCCGUGCUUGAGUGUGGGAGAGGUGAGUGGAAUUCCCGGUGUAGCGGUGAAAUGCGUAGAUAUUGGGAAGAACACCGGUGGCGAAGGCGGCCAUCUGGACCGCAACUGACGCUGAGGCGCGAAAGCGUGGGGAGCAAACAGG